rnacentral:rRNA from 1 species
AUUGAACGCUGGCGGCAGGCCUAACACAUGCAAGUCGAACGGUAACAGGAAUCAGCUUGCUGAUUCGCUGACGAGUGGCGGACGGGUGAGUAAUGUCUGGGAAACUGCCUGAUGGAGGGGGAUAACUACUGGAAACGGUAGCUAAUACCGCAUAACGUCGCAAGACCAAAGAGGGGGACCUUCGGGCCUCUUGCCAUCGGAUGUGCCCAGAUGGGAUUAGCUAGUAGGUGGGGUAACGGCUCACCUAGGCGACGAUCCCUAGCUGGUCUGAGAGGAUGACCAGCCACACUGGAACUGAGAAACGGUCCAGACUCCUACGGGAGGCAGCAGUGGGGAAUAUUGCACAAUGGGCGCAAGCCUGAUGCAGCCAUGCCGCGUGUAUGAAGAAGGCCUUCGGGUUGUAAAGUACUUUCAGCGAGGAGGAAGGUGUUGUGGUUAAUAACCACAGCAAUUGACGUUACUCGCAGAAGAAGCACCGGCUAACUCCGUGCCAGCCGCCGCCGUAACAC